UGAAAAUAGUACAACAAUGAUCACAAAAAAGAAUAAGAUUGUAUCUACUCAAUACACUACAACAAAAACGGUCUAUAGCGACACUUUUAAAUGUAGCUACAUAUCAAAAAAGUGCUGCUAGCUAAAAUUACCGACACUUUUAAAAAGUGUUGCUAUAUGUGGGGUCGCUAGGUAUAUAGUGACAGUUAAAGAGUGUUAUAUAACCUAAAAGAGUGCUGCUAAUUUACCAACACUUAUUUAAGUAUUUAGCAACCGCCGAAACUCUAUCUCGUUGGCUGCGGUGCCGGAGGAGGACGACAGGAAAGGCUCUUCGUCUAGAAUUCCAGUGGAUUGAGUGAAGAGAGAAGAAAAGAUGGUAAUUGAUUUUUUUUUUUUCUUUUCUGUUUGUAAUCGGGCCAAAUGGACUGGGUGUGGUGAGUUGAGUAGAGUAAUCUUUUAUUUUUGUUUGGAUUGGGCUUUAUAUUUAGGCAUUAGUAGAUAUUUUUUUUAAGUUUUAGGAUAAAUGGGACACUUACUCAAAAGUGUCCCAAACAUAUGUCCCUAUAACCUAAUACUGUUGUAGUGAUAUUUAAAUAUUUUUAAAUAGUUGCUGGAAUUUGUGU
rnacentral:lncRNA from 1 species